rnacentral:rRNA from 1 species
UACGUAGGGUGCGAGCGUUGUCCGGAAUUAUUGGGCGUAAAGAGCUCGUAGGCGGUUUGUCACGUCGGAUGUGAAAACCCGGGGCUUAACUCCGGGCCUGCAUUCGAUACGGGCUGACUAGAGUUCGGCAGGGGAGACUGGAAUUCCUGGUGUAGCGGUGAAAUGCGCAGAUAUCAGGAGGAACACCGGUGGCGAAGGCGGGUCUCUGGGCCGAUACUGACGCUGAGGAGCGAAAGCGUGGGGAGCGAACAGG